rnacentral:lncRNA from 1 species
UAAACACAGAAUAACUUCCAACAAACAGAUUUAAGCUAAUAAAAUCAGUCAGGAUAGAAUAAUGAAAAAAAAAGAUAUUCAAGAGAAGCACAAACACAGUGAGCACAUGUAUUUAACCGAAGAAAUAACCAUGGUUUACAGACCUAUACGAACGAGAUUUUCACUAUACUAGAGGCUAAUCUUACCCUACCAAAAGAAUGAAACAUGGACUUAGUCACACAUAGCAAGAAAGAAGAGAUCAUGAAAACUAAAUACAUAUUUAAACUAAACAGAAAAUGACUUACAAAAUGAUAUUUAAUUAAAAUUAGAGAGAUCGGAGGAUUUAACUUAAACUCUUGAGCUUCAAAAGUCCGCAUGCGUUGUUAAAAGGGUUCCGGAUGACUUUGAUUUAAUAUUCAAAUCAAAUGGGGACGAUUCGAGGGCUAGAGGUCGCUGAUGUGGGAUGAGGAGGGAAAGGGGAUUAUACAGUGUUGAUUUGGCAGAUUUUUGAAAAGGUUGUACUUUGGCUGGACUUUUCAAAUUAAAAUUCGAGAAGUUGUAUUGUGAUUCGAGGGAAACUAGUGUUUGAUCUGUGACGAGGUUGGAGAGGGGAAUCUAGUGUGUAAAAUUUUGGAUGUUUGGUGGCCGGCCACUGCCAUGGAAGGCGGAGCUGUCGAACUUCGGAGUCUUAUUCGACGCGAUUGUGAGACAUUUGAGGGAAAUAGGUGAUGGGGUUGGAAAGGGGAGUGUUAGGAGGUGAUAUGGUGUAAUUUUGGGGUUCAUUGGAGCUACGCCACUGGCGGCGGCGAUUUCCGGCCGGCGGAGAGACGGAGGGACAGGAGCGGUGUUACACCAGAGAUGUUAGGGUGUUUAGGAG